rnacentral:misc_RNA from 1 species
GUACUCUCAAGCUAAGCUUGGUGUUGGGUGUUUGUCCACUCCCUCGUGUUUGGACUCGCCUUAAAACAAUUGGCAGCCAGUGUUUUGGUAUUGAAGCGCAGCACAAUUUGCGAUUCUAGCCUAGAAUACUAGCAUCCAUCAAGUCAUUUUUAAC